UGUUAAUUAAAAGCUCUGUUCAGAUGCCUUCACAAUAGUCACCACCCUCACACCCAAAACAGUUGUGACAAAAAGGCAUCUAUGUUUAAAUAAUUCGGUCAAGAUUUAAUUUGAAAAUAUGUAGCUAACUUGAAGGGUACCAAUGGGCACAUAAUCCAUAGCAACUUAUUCUGUGCGCCAAUCGGAAGCUUUUUUCUCCGUGUUGAAUAAGGAUGAAAAAAUUCACUACAAUGUAAAUAAAUUUUACAUUUUGCUGUGGCAAAUGGAAUGUAAUUGAUAUUUCAAAAAAAGGGGCAAACGAAUAUCCUGUUGAUUAAAUUAUUAGAUAUGUACUAUCAUAAAAUGAAUUCGAAAUAAUGCUUUGCUUUGCUAGUUAUAUUACUGAAACUAGAAAAAUGCAUUAAUUUAAAGAUUUGUUAAUAAUUCAAAAUUUUAAACAAAGUGCUAGCGCACUACUACUCUACUUGUAUGCGAUAAACAUAUCUUCAUAUUCAUUUUUUAACAAAGUUUUUGAGUUACUGUUUAUAUUUAAUCGAGCAUUACAUCCUUUAAGCAUGUUAACAAAUU